rnacentral:rRNA from 1 species
GACAGAGGGUGCGAACGUUGUUCGGAAUUACUGGGCGUAAAUCGCAUGUAGGCGGCAGCGCAAGUCGGGCGUGAAAUCCCACGGCUCAACCGUGGAAGUGCACUCGAAACUGCGCAGCUAGAGUCCUGGAGAGGAAGGUGGAAUGCUUGGUGUAGAGGUGAAAUUCGUAGAUAUCAAGCGGAACACCGGUGGCGAAGGCGGCCUUCUGGACAGUGACUGACGCUGAGAUGCGAAAGCGUGGGGAGCAAACAGG